rnacentral:tRNA from 1 species
CGGCGCGGGGUAGAGCAGUUUGGUAGCUCGCAAGGCUCAUAACCUUGAGGUCACGGGUUCAAAUCCUGUCUCUGCUUGAACG